GUGCCAGCCGCCGCGGUAAUACGGAGGGGGCUAGCGUUGUUCGGAAUUACUGGGCGUAAAGCGCACGUAGGCGGAUCGGAAAGUUGGGGGUGAAAUCCCGGGGCUCAACCUCGGAACUGCCUCCAAAACUAUCGGUCUUGAGUUCGAGAGAGGUGAGUGGAAUUCCGAGUGUAGAGGUGAAAUUCGUAGAUAUUCGGAGGAACACCAGUGGCGAAGGCGGCUCACUGGCUCGAUACUGACGCUGAGGUGCGAAAGCGUGGGGAGCAAACAGGAUUAGAUAC
rnacentral:rRNA from 1 species